GUCUAUCUCUGUGGGCAGAAGGAUGGAAUGAGUUACUGUGAUUGGCACUCCAUAGUGACAUGUCAUACCAAAGAUGACAUGGAGUAGAAAAAGGCUUCCUGAUAGCAAAGGAGGCUUGAUAUCAAAAGGAAGGUGAAGAGAAAUGGGUUGUUUCAUCUACAAGAUAACAACUGCUGGCCAUUCUAGGCCCUUUAAUGCAGGGACAGAGCCUUCUCAAAAGGGGGAGGUAAUCUCCAAGUCAAUAAAGAAUUUAUGCAGUUAGCCUCAUGCUUGGAGCAAGAAAGUACAGAAUUGUGAACACAUGAUUCUAGCCUUGAGAAGCAACAAGAAAAGCACUCCACAUCACCAGACUGUAAUACCAAGGGCCAGAUAUGGGUGUAGUUCUGGCUGUAAAUGCCUUGAGGGGAUCAAAAAGGUUUAUGAGAAUCCCUUGAUGGCUGAGGAAAGGACACGGAUUGAGGUGUGAGGUGGUUUUUAGGACUUAAAAUAUGGAGAGGAAAAAAUCAAGAACAGAUGUGAGGUAUGAAAGGUAGGGGUGGGGACGGAUUAAGUGGGGCUGAGGAAACAUGGUUUUGACUGUGGCAAAAUACAAAACAAAAAACCAUAACACUGAGAAACAUUUGAACAAAAUAUGGGUUAAUGGGUAUUCCAUCUUGAUUCAGGAAUGGACUUUUAAGUAUUAAAGCAGUAGGAAAAAUCAAAAAGAACAAGCUUGGCAUAUUUGACAUAAAAAAGUAAAUAUACACUUCAAAACAUCAUAAAGUUAAAAGGCAAAUUGGGGGAAAUAUUUCUAAUAUUAAGAUAUGUUAUGAUAAGAUAAACACAUACUUUUUUUUAAUAAAAGAAGAUUCAAUAGAAGAAUGAGCAGAGGACAUAAGCAGACAAUUUCCAAAAGGGAAAUGAACAACGGUGGAGCCUUCUUCACUCAAAAUGUAUCAAGGAGACACCGGCUCAACCCCGAUAUUCUGUUCUCUACCUUUGGGCUGCUAGGCUUGCAAUAAAACAGUUUAUUGAACCACAGACGAUGUUCAGGCAUUCAAUCAGCCCCUCAGAGGCCUUACAUCUGGCAGCAUCUUUCUCUAAAGCAAAUAAAUACCUUCUGCCUCCACUCAGGUGUACCCUAGCCUGAGCAGCCCCUCGGUAGCCCCGGGGGUCCAAAAAGAGGCUAGAAGCAGCCUCCUUCAGGACCAAAUGCUGCUCCCCUUCCUCCAGGUGCCACCCCACCAGAGCCAGGCCAGCCCAUUGUGCCCAAGGCUAGAUACAGACACUAAGAGUCUGAGCAAGCUGUCAUGAACCAAGAGGCCAUCGGGGCCUGCCCACCACCCUUGUAAGUGGCGGACACUGCCAGUUAUCAGGCUGGCAGCCUUGGAUCCACUGGUAAUUAUCACAGAUUACGUAACCAUUCUUAUUAAGGAGUGCUGCGCGGUGGCAGGGCCGUGCUGAACUCAGGCUGGGAUUCUGACUCUGAGACUUGCUGGCCCGUGCCUCACCUCUCGGAGCCUUGUUUCGUCAUCUGCUUCCUUAAAGACUUGGGGCCCCAUGUGAAGAAGGCCAUCUGACAUUGAACUGAGAAGCCCUCUACUUCUCCUAACUUCCUCCCACCAUGCAUUUUUAAUAGACAGCCUGAGAACCCUGAAGAUCCAUUUUCCAGAGAAAUCUACCAAGUCCAUGCAGACACAGAGAGGACUGCCAUCUGGGACAAGCAGGAGAAGACAGAGAGUCGGUGUCACUCCAGCCCCAAACAAGAGAAC